ACGAAUGCGGCUGAAGUGGCUCCCCGCCAGGCUCAGGAGACGUCCGCGGGUCUCGCGGUCGCGCGGCUGUGCCGCCGGCCGCCGGGUGCCCGAGGACCGAUCUGCAUUUCUGCGGGGAGCCGGCCAACGGCAGUCGUUGCCGGCCCAGGAGGGCGUCGCGGGAAGGUGGCCUCGCGUUCCGCGUGGGGAACUUACAGCCCGACGCCAGGGUGCUCCGGCGGCGACUGAGGAGAGCUUGCGAAAGUGUCGCACGAGCAGCGCAGGCCGCCCCCACGGGCGGCUGGGCCGCUCUCGUCCGGUUAGCGGCUGCGGUGUUCACUGCCUAGCCAGUGACCUGCCGACGGCUCGCGAGUCGGAAGGGAGGCCGGUCGCACCUUGCGCUGCGGUCGU
rnacentral:rRNA from 1 species